UACGGGGGGAGCAAGCGUUGUUCGGAUUUACUGGGCGUAAAGGGCGCGUAGGCGGUCAGUGCAAGUCAGUUGUGAAAUCUCCGGGCUUAACUCGGAAAGGUCAACUGAUACUGCUCGACUAGAGUGCGGAAGGGGCAACUGGAAUUCUCGGUGUAGCGGUGAAAUGCGUAGAUAUCGAGAGGAACACCUGCGGCGAAGGCGGGUUGCUGGGCUGACACUGACGCUGAUGCGCGAAAGCCAGGGGAGCGAACGGG
rnacentral:rRNA from 1 species